rnacentral:lncRNA from 1 species
CCAGACUCUGGUCUGAGUGGUUGACUUGUAUCCCCAAGAUUACUCCUCCUAGCACCAGGUGAGUGGGCUGUCUUUGGGGCUACAUCAAUAUCAGGGGACACUGGGUUGUUCAGCCUGGCUGGCUGAAGCUUCCUGGAAGAAAACAUCUCAUUUUCAGAUUUUGAGAUGCCUUAAAGUCUGGUCUUUAGUCCUUCUGGCUGAAGGAAGUCAAUUUUAAGAGCUGACUGACCAUAGUCUUCUUUCUCAGAUAGUAAGAUGCUUAUGAGAAAGUAAGAAAGUUCAAAAGAAUUCAUUUAGGUUUUGACAAAACCCAUCCUUGCAGGACAGCAACCUCUGCGUUCGUGUGUCACCUCCAAUCUACUGCAGCAGAGGCAGAGCAGCAGGUGGGUGCCCAGGCUUCUGCCAGGUACCCUGGGACAGCACCACUAUCUCAUGCUGUGUCUCUCUCACACCUACUGUACCAGACUGCCAGCUGUGGUGGGUGGCUUUAAAGAUAGAGCUCAGAAUACAGGCUCUCAUCUUGGGAUUGACCUGCAGAGAAAUGGGUGGAGAGGGAUUCUCCAAAGGGAUGUUUGGAAAGUAAACCUACUCUGUGGAGGGGCUGGAAACGUGUGUUACCUCUGUGGCUGAUGCUGAAACCCUCUGCUUGCUGCCAGGAGCUGAACCUCCAGGUAUGACCAGAUGUAGCUGGAUGACUAGAGUAAAAAUGGCAUCAGCAAUGUCAGCUGAUGAGAUUUGAGAAGUAACCACUUCCAGUGACCUCUGGGCCAUAGCAGCAUGCAUGAACAGAGUGCCUCAAACAGUUUGUGUGGGAAGCCACUCAUAGCGUAUCUAUGGGCUGUUUAAAUGGAUGGAAAUUGCAUCAUACGCAUCAGACAGAUGUCUGAGAAACCCGAAAAGGGGGAUGCAUGUCUGCAGCAGAGAGAAUGCUUUUCUUUUCUCCUUGGGUACCACUGUGUGCCAGCACCAGCAGGCAAGCUCGUGGGUCAGGCCCUGCUGCACAGGCUCCAGAGGCAGCAAGAACCUGCUGAAAAAAACAAAUCUUAAUGCCGAAAUACUCCUUAGUACUUUUCUCAUGUUCCUUUCACAAAGGCUGUGGAAAGCUUGGGGUAUUUUCCUAACUCACACCCCAACACAAAACUCUCAUUUAUCAAGUAUUUAUCUGCUGUGCUGUAACUUGCUGCUGUCAUUAAAUAAUGCAUCUGAAAUGCAGGCUUGAGCGGAUCACUCUGCUGAGAGCGCUGUGCUUUUGAAAUGUGAUGGAGCUCAUCUGCCUGUCCUGGACCAAAGAGGCAGACAAGGCUGGGCUGGUUUGGGCACGGCUGCAGGUUUGUCCUCACUGUUCCUUGCUCAGGGAUAUCACUUCACAAACAGUAAAUAGGCUUCCAGUUUUUAUUUCCAAGUUUAGAUAAAAUGAUCUGUAUUUUCAUUUUCUUUUAGAAAGAAAGCAGGCUGGAGAAGCAUCCCAGAAUGGCCAGAAGCUCAUUAUAAGCUUUUUCUCUCAGAUUCAGUCCCAUUCCCAACAUUUUCCAGUUUGUUGAAGCCAAUAUAUUUGUUUUCAGCAAAUGAAUGCUUUAUGAUGACAACCCCUCUCGUGGGGAAGAUGCCUGCUGGUACCUCCUGGGGCUCAGAAGGGAAGCCUGGGAACCAUUGUUGGUUUUGAGUCCAAAACAGUGCAUUCCUGUGGUGGUAAAAUUACUUCUGUUUUAUUCUUUAUGGAUAUCAAAAUACUGAGUUCAGAGCUUCAUUUAAAACAAUAGCAUUUUGUGCAAGUAAAUCAUCUUGCUUAUGUGCAGUCUUUCUACUUACAAAGUCCAUAUUGAUUCUCCUGUCCCACUGAACAGCCCUGCUCUGCCUAAAGACCACUCAGGCCUGCUCAGGAUAGAUGCGAUUUAUCAACAUACUUCUCCAGCCAUAGCUGUAGUGUUUACACACAGUUCAAACAUUCAGAUGUGGCCCCUUCUCCUCAGAUGGAUGAUGUGGAAAUUAUUUUCUGUUCUGAACUAAUUCUUCCUGUUGGCACCUACAGCAUUUUUUGUUCAUGUACUUAUUGAUUGAUUAGUCCGGCCUCAACAGUUCUAUGCGACCCUUCAGUCUUGCUGUUAACCUAUGCCUGUGCCCAUUCCAGACCACAUCAUUCAGUACCACCUCUGCCCUUUCCCUGAGCACCUCCAGGAAUGCUGACCCCACCACCUCCCUGGGCAGCCUGUUCCAAUGCAUCACUUGUGUCUGUACUCAGUGCAGCAGGCUCUGAGCUCUGUGAGAUGCUGCUGUACAAACAGCAUGGGUGUGUUGUCUGUGAUGUAGCUACUUGGGAUUGUUGCAGGACCCCACCAUGAGCAAGACAGCUGCAGGCAUUUUCUCUUGUCCUUUUCUCUUGUCCUUGUGAGAGGCAGGGCAGGUUGUCCCUGGUGUUGCAGCGAGGGGCAGGGACCUCCCUACAGCCCUGGGCUCUGCAGGUGAGCAGGGGAUGAACAUGAGGAACGCUGCAGGCAGACCCUUCCCAGCUGCUCCCUUCCCACCAGGCAGGGCUCCUCAUGGACAGCCUGGGCCCACUCAGCCAUGCAGGCAGCUCCCUGGGCCUGUGCUGCAGCUCUGCUCAGCUUUAUUUUUGUUCUUCUUCCAGUAUUUGCAGUACCCAUUUACUCCUGAGGCAUGCGAGUCUGACUAAUCCUUCAGGGGUGUCUCAGGGGAGGACCAUCCUACAGAAAAGCAUGUCUCCCUGCAGUGUGAACUCCCACCGGGUGCAUCUGGCUCUGGGACAAGGCUCAUGCAGUGCUGGGGAAGACCCAAUAUCGUAUAAUUUAGAUGCUUUCCACUCUUCCUUCCAGAAGUUGGCAAACUGCUUACCUGCCUCUAAAGCAUCCCUGUUGUUGUGACUCUGUGUCCAUCUCAGCCUCCUGUCACCAGCCUGAAAGACUGAGCUUUUUGCUGCAUGCUUCAGCAGUAGCGCCUGCAGAGGUGUAACAGAUGCAGUAAGAAUUGCACCUGCUUCCACUGCUAUCAGAAGUCAAACAGCUGAUUGUUACCUCUCCAGGGGCAUUGGUGAGCUUCAGUCGUUGCUCUCCUAUUUCAAAAUCCCACCUUUAAAAAGAAAAAUAAGACACAAAAAAAUGUGGAGCCUGGAAAGAAGCUCAAACUUUCUGUCCCCAUCUUUCUGCUUUUUUUUCUUCCUGUGGAAUAGCAUGGAAAAGUCACCAUCACUGAGAUCUCAGAUAUCUCAGCAGUGUUACAGUGAGGGCCAGAGGAUGAGUUUGAGUGGGCUUUUGUACUUAAAGUUCUAUUGGAUGAAUGUGGAUCUGGAUGUUUAGCAUCCGGGGGGGUGCAUGGCUGCUUAGGUCAGCCCAGACGCUCGUGGGAGUCAUGGGAGUGAACAACCAGCACUUCAUCUGCAGGACCUGCCCCUGCCCUGCAGGACUGUGCUGGAGCCCCACCUCCAGUUCCAUUGCUACUGGAGCCAUUCACCCCAGGGAAAGCCCAGGGCGGGCCCUGGACAGGCACAAUUCAAUGGGAAAGGAAGCAGUACAAACAAGAAGACUGUGUUCUUGGCAGCAGCUGCCUGGAAGAUGGCUGGGACGUGCAGCUAAAUAUCUGGCAGAGAAGAGGGCAUCAAAAACCAACAGGAGAGAAUAAAUGAUGUUCCAGCGGGAUGCUAGAAGUGCCACCCUAGCACAGCCCCGUUCCUGCUUACAGAUGCUUGUGAGCUGCUCCCACCCACGGCACAGGUGAGAGUACGUGCUGUGAGAGGCCAGCCUGCACGCGUGGUGGGAAACUGCACAGCAUGCCACGGCCCAAGCCCUGUUCAGAUAGGGACAACCGCAGCAGGCAGUUGUCCAGGCAGCUUGUGAAACCAGCACCGCAGCAGUUCAGGUCCUUUCCUCCUUUGGAGAGCCUCUCUAUGUUUUUAGGUAGGCUGGAAGGUGUACAAGUUACAGGUGUGCCUGCGAUGUGCUGCAUGGAGAGCAUUCCAGAAAUCCUGCACCAGAGAUUGCGAGCAGAGUGAUUAUCCAUUACUAACUGUAGAGCCUUGAGUUAAGCACGUUCUCCACUUAGGAUCUUCCCAGGGAAAAUAAAGUUUCUGAGACUGAAAAGCAAUGCGUUUAGCAGUCGGAUAGUGAAGGAAGGUGGUAGAUGUCUUUGUGACAGCGUCAGCUAUUUCAGAUAGCUUUAUGUCUGCCUGCUGUCUGCUGGAUGAAACCAUAGACAGUGCGAUAGCAGCUCUGUCUGCAGUUACCACAUUUAGGCUGGAAAAAAAAAUAACCUUUUUGACAUCUAUUGGGUCCGCAGCGUAGAUGGGCCAUUAACCUUGUGCACGCUCCUCAUCCCCUAUAGAUAAUAAUAUUUGACUAAGUCGCAGCAUUGCAGUUAAGCGAUGGCUGUACUUUGCACUGAGCUUCCUGCUCUGGCAUAUCCUCACGAGAAGCGAUUUAGGAUAACAAAGCAGCACGACUUGUUCUUCUGAGUGCACGGGAACAGAACGACAUGGGGGCUGGAACUGGAAGGGAAACGCUCUCCAGGUUUCAAGUUUUCACAUUCCUUGUGAAAAUGGUGGUUUAAAAGACGUGGUAUUCUUCUGCCUAGGCGGCAAAGAGGACCCCUUAGUAAGUAAAACAAAAGGACUAUGGCCUCAUCAGAAGUGUUGUUCUGGCUGACAGUAUAGGAUAGCUUAAGGGAAAAGAAUAUAAGAAAUAUUGCACCAGCGGUUAAUUCGCUCUAUUUCCAACAAUUCAGCUAAGACAAGAGAAAGCAAAUAUAUGGGUCUAAAGAUGGUUGCUAUAGAAACUAGAGGAGAUUCUAUAGUUGCUUCUGAAAGUUACAGAGGCUCUGAUUGAUAAGACAGUUGUAUUCAAAGAGUCACUAUGGAAACCCAAGGUGACCUGGAGGAGAUGUGACUCCUCCGCUCUGCUCCUGGGGGCAGAUGAAGACAGGCAGGAGGAAGGUCUGUGUUGGUGAUAAAGCACACCACGGUGUGGUGUCACACAGAGCUCACUGCGAUGCUAGAGAUGCUCAGCAUCUCACGUUUCAAACCUGUGAGAGCGCUGAUCUCUGUAGAGGUGAACCGUAGUCAUUUACUUUCCCUCUGAAGGGUUUUCUUCUCAUUGAAAUCAAUAGGAGCUCUGCUAUUGACUUCCCGAGAGCAAAGGAGAUUUUAGAAGCCUUCCUGUGACUUCAAUCUAUCAAAGCAAGGGAGCACAUUUGCAUGUCUCCCACCGAGCUCAGUGUUUAGCAGCUGCUUCUGCUUUGCAGAAAUGGGGCCAUGGAGCUGCUGAGCACUUCGGGCUUUCACUAACAAGAGCUGUGCCUGCACCACGGCCCCAGGAACUGGAAAGAAAGCAAACUGAACGUGCAAGUUUUGUUCUUGCAGAUUGGUUAUGAGAGGAAUUCUCUGGUUCCUCAGCCCCAGCCUGGAUGUACGCAUCUAAAUCAUUUAGAAAACUGUUUGAUUCACGCUGUUCCCGACGUCACCCACAUGCGAACAAAUCAUACAGUUAUUCAUCAGUCUGAGAUCUUUGUCUUGCAUGAUUUCCAGUGAGAUAAAAAGAACCAGUUGGCAGUUUGAGAAAAAAAAAAACUCCUACAUUUCUGUGAUUUCUCCAAGUUUCCAGUGCCAGCGUGCAGUCAGGAGGAAAUAAAGUGGCUGGAGAACGGCCGAGGAUGCAGGUCUGGCUGACAGGAGCAGGGCACACAGCAGCACAGGUUCCUCACAACCCUUUUAGCUGGGUUAGCUGCCAGCAUUGGCCAGAGCAGUCAGUAAACCAGUCCGGUACAACAGUGCUAAUGCCCUCUCAACUCAGCCUCGAUGUGUUUCUAAAAUCCCCUUCUCCCUUGUAGAGAACCCAGCUGUGCUCGUACUGUGUGGAAUCCUUCAAACAGCAAAAAAAAGAAAAAGAAAAAGAAAAAAAAGAACACGACAAAGUGAAUGCUGCUUCUGCUUCCACCAUCAAAGGACACUUUCAGACUUCAGGCUACUGCCACUGCUGCUGGUGGAGCCGCAGCAGCACGGAAUGGCUGCAGGCCUGGAAACAGGGAGGGUAGAUUGGAUGCACGUUAUCUUGAGCAAAGGUCCUGCUGCUUUUAAAGAUUAGCAGAAUUGUUACCUAUUACUAAAGCUGUCGAGUCAUGGCUGGAGGUGGAAAUCACUGCUCUAAUGGAGUCAUAAUAAUUCCACUACAAAGAAGGAGAGAAAGAGAAGGAAAUUUAAUAAAAGAUGUGCUCACAGGAAGAUGCAGUCUCCGGAGCUAUUUUCUGUUCUGUUUUUGUGUCUGUUGAAAGGAAACACAGAGAUGAAUAAAUAAGAACAAGUUAAGCUCUUUCAAUGGGCACAGACAAUGUAAAUGUGUGACAGAGCCUUUCAUCCUCAGCACUCCUGCCCACAUUCCUGCUUCUCAAAUGGCAGUGCAGCUCAGAAAUACAUUUUAUGUUUAUUUUUUACCCAUAUAACUCAAACUCCACUCACUUCCCAGUAAGAAGUCGCAACAGAAGAGAGAACAGUGCCCUCAAGAUGACCCCUUGGCAGAUUUUCAACCUUAGGUAGCUGUUUCUAUGUUCUGGGAAAACAGAGCAGCAAAUGAG